ACACUAUAUACUUACCCCAGUAUUACAGCCAGGUAAUGAUCAAGAAAAUAAGAUAUUUUUACCAUAGUACUCAUGUGAGAACAAGAAAUGUAGAAAAGCUAUUUGGAACCUGGAAAAGAGAGUUUCCUUGUCUUCAACAAGGUCUACAAACCAAAUUAUAUACAUGUCUUGCAAUAAUAUGUGCUACAGCAGUACCUUACAAUCUAGGUAAAUAAUGAUCUGGUGGUAAAUAGACAUGUUAAUGAUGUGGAACAAUCUCUAAAUUUUUGGUGACAUUUUUUUCAACAAUAUUUUGCAUGAGAAUACAUUAUUGAAUACCUA